GGGAUAGGUACCAAUUGGCAGACGGAGAGUUUCCAAGGCUGAGUGGGCUAGCAUUGCGUUCUAAUGAGACAAGAGGUUUAACCAGUUUAUACGCGGUACAAACAGUGUGGCAAGAGUCCCAGCCAUACCCAAAAAUUGAGUCUAAGUGGACAUCAUGAGUAGAGGGAUUCCGGUUUGGCUACUUCUUUUGCAAACUUACCAUCAAUGAAGAUCCGCGCUGACACGGAAGUGAUCAGAAACAACGAGAGGGUUAUUGAAGGAUUCAUGGCGACGGAGAUACUGAUGAUUUGAGCUUGGACUAUGGCUAUUUAAAGCCCUGACACAAAUGUUUUCCCUCCAAUUAAGGGGCUAAUUUGCGGCUUGAACCUAGCCACAUCAGAGGCACACACUUUCGCCACCUCAUUUGGCAUGUUUAAGUGCAAAAUAACGAUCCAACCGAGAACUCAGUACUGACUUGUGUUGGAACAAAGUGCUGACUUGACGUUAGACUUAGUUGGGGGUGAUAAUGACACACGGUAUUGCCUGGAUGCGUUUUUGGGCAUUGAGUGUCAGCCUUUUAUGUUUGAUUAAUUAUUUUGUUGUCUUCUUAAUCUUAGGACCUUCUUUUUCAUCGGUGGAUGCUAAGAUCGGAGGGGUUGGAAGUGCCCAUCACAUCGUCCAAUGUCGCGUACAUAUAGGCUGUGUCGUAACAGUAUCAGAUUGGUUCUCCGGUCUCCGUCUGCGGGUGCGGCUAGCGUUUUAAAGUGUCCUGUAGAGAAAGGUCGGGAAGGAGAAUUAAACCAGGGAUCUCUCAUACUAUGAAAGUUCUUGAGCAAGUAUGUCACGUCUUCUCCUCUUAAAGUUUAACUUUCAGCACUGGGACCUGAACCCACGACGCCUGGGGAGAAGAUUCUUGACGUGUUUGUCCUACUUCUUAGACCGCUCGGGUACACUUUUAUGGAAAAGUCAAAUAACUUACUGCCAGGCCAUGUAAUGAUUGAUUCAUUACUCGUUUCGCCCUACCAGAAACACCUGCUCCCGUUUCCUUUCCCCGUCGAUUAGAUUGUCCUUGUUACGAAUGGCAUUACGGAAUCCUUCACUCAAUGACCAAGAUUAUGCGGAAGAUAAUAAUCUUGAAUACAAAUUUGGCUCUUGUCAACCUGUUACCGUAAAAGUGUCUACACCGUUCGCAAUACGUCUUUUUUUAUUGUUAUUGUAUACGUAUUCAUAAUUCGUUCAAUUUCUCAAAUAUUUCUAUCGGAAAAGGAAAUAAAUGUUGACAUGACUUGUUUGAUCAAA